rnacentral:sRNA from 1 species
AAACCUAAACCCAAGACCAUAGUCCCGAAACUUUAUAACCAAAAUCCUACUUUGGCUUCUGGAAGCCGGUUGUGGUUCUAGUUCUUAUGCUCAACGAUACACAAAGUAUCUAGUCAUAUUUGGCUAUAAAUCCGCUAACCAAGCCACAUCUUGAUUCUCAAAGCUUUGAUGGUGAAGUCAAAGAUCUUAUGAGUUUUUAGUCUUGAAUCGUAUAACAAGGAAGCACUACUUUACUUUUCGGGAUCUCGUUGAGGUUAUAGUUUUAUAUAUUCAAUCAUACACAUGAUAUCUAGUAAUAUUUCACUCUGAAAUGCUAACCCAGAUUCUUCUUGCUCUUCAAAGCUUUGAUGGUGUAGCCUAAGUCCGUAUGAUUUUUGGUUUUGGAUCUUCUAACAGGGAAAGAUAAAUUUAGGUUCAUAGCCCUGGUUGUGGUUUUAGCCCUAAAACUCAAUCAUCCACCUAUCAUCUUGAGAUAUUUGAUUCCAAAACGCUUAAAAAUAUUGUGCUUACUUUU